UACAGAGGUCUCAACCGUUGUUCGGAUUCAUUGGGCGUAAAGGGUGCGUAGGCGGUCGUGCAAGUCGGAUGUGAAAUCUCAGGGCUCAACCCUGAAACUGCAUUCGAUACUGCGCGGCUAGAGUGCUGGAGGGGAGACUGGAAUUUACGGUGUAGCAGUGAAAUGCGUAGAUAUCGUAAGGAAGACCAGUGGCGAAGGCGGGUCUCUGGACAGUUCCUGACGCUGAGGCACGAAGCCAGGGGAGCAAACGGG
rnacentral:rRNA from 1 species